rnacentral:rRNA from 1 species
GUGUCAGCAGCCGCGGUAAGACAGAGGUCCCGAGCGUUAGGCGGAAUCACUGGGCUUAAAGCGUGUGUAGGCGGAUGUCUAAGUGCUUUGUGAAAUCCCACGGCUCAACCGUGGAAUUGCUGGGCAUACUGGAUGUCUUGAGUGGCCUAGGGGCAACUGGAACAAACGGUGGAGCGGUGAAAUGCGUAGAUAUCGUUUGGAACGCCAAAGGUGAAAACAGGUUGCUGGGGGCCAACUGACGCUGAGACACGAAAGCCAGGGGAGCAAACGGGAUUAGAAACCCUUGUAGUCC